CCUGCUAAGCUCUUGUAGCCUCGAGUCUGUCGGAAUCCAAAGUCUUCCUCACCCAGGAAGCCCAUCUUCUGUAAUCUUGGCUCCUGGGAGUCACUCAUGUUGCCCCAGAGUCCCCCAG